rnacentral:lncRNA from 1 species
GAGGGCGUUCCCAUUUUGUAAUCAUAUUAUUUCUGGCAGCAACAGACAUCUCGGCCCCCAAAUUGACACUCCUCUAUUCCUCUAGCUCCUUCCACGGUACAAAGUGGCAGCAGGCUCGCUUUUUUAUUAUUCCAACAUAAAUUAUUUCUGGCUUCCCACAAGCUCCCCAAAAUCAUGACUGCUUCCUCCAUUUUUGCUUUUGCAUUGCUCUUUCUUUGCUCUUCAAACCACGCUACAAAAUCUCCUAUUACAUCCUGCCAACCAAAAUUUGAUUGAAUUCAAUAUUAUUUUGCAAACUGACAAUCUACCGAGCAAUGUUUCACCCUCUCUGGCGUUUGCAGACAUCAAGGUAAAUUGAACUAGCUACUGAUUUUUUCUUGAAAAAGCUCCACAUGUAGGUAGAAUAUUUCUCAAACUCAUCAGCUAAAAUUACACACCUU